rnacentral:rRNA from 1 species
UACAGAGGGUGCAAGCGUUAAUCGGAAUUACUGGGCGUAAAGGGCUCGUAGGCGGCCAACUAAGUCAGACGUGAAAUCCCUCGGCUUAACCGGGGAACUGCAUCUGAUACUGGAUGGCUUGAGAUUGGGAGAGGGAUGCGGAAUUCCAGGUGUAGCGGUGAAAUGCGUAGAUAUCUGGAGGAACACCGGUGGCGAAGGCGGCAUCCUGGACCAAUUCUGACACUGAGGAGCGAAAGCCAGGGGAGCAAACGGG